rnacentral:rRNA from 1 species
AUUGAACGCUAGCGGGAUGCUUUACACAUGCAAGUCGAGCGGAGCGGCGGACGGGUGCGUAAUGCCUAGGAAUCUGCAUGGUAGUGGGGGAUAACGUCCGGCAACGGGCGCUAAUACCGCAUACUAUCAGAUGAGCCUAUGUCGGAUUAGCUAGUUGGUGGGGUAAAGGCCUACAAAGGCGACGAUCCGUAACUGGUCUGAGAGGAUGAUCAGUCACACUGGAACUGGGACACGGUCCAGACCCCUACGGGAGGCAGCAGUGGGGAAUAUUGGACAAUGGGCGAAAGCCUGAUGCAGCCAUGCGGCUGGUGUGAAGAAGGUCUUCGGAUUGUAAAGCACUUUAAGUUGGGAGGCGUUACCAACAGAAUAAGCACCGGCUAACUUCGUGCCAGCAGCCGCGGUAAUUC